CAUCUAGGCGGGGUUUCAAGUCGACGGUGAAAACUAGUGGCUCAACCAUAAGCUUGCCUACGAAACUGAUUAACUAGAGUACUGGAGAGGUGGACGGAACUACACGAGUAGAGGUGAAAUUCGUAGAUAUGUGUAGGAAUGCCGAUGAUGAAGAUAGUUCACUGGACAGAAACUGACGCUGAAGUGCGAAAGCUAGGGGAGCAAACA
rnacentral:rRNA from 1 species